GCAGUCUGAAACUCGAGUGCAUGAAGCUAGAAUCGCUAGUAAUCGCAAAUCAGAAUGUUGCGGUGAAUACGUUCCCGGGUCUUGUACACACCGCCCGUCACACCCAUGGGGAGUUGGAAAUGCCCGAAGUCAGUGACCCAACCAAAAGGAGGGAGCUGCCGAAGGCAGGUUCGAUGACUGGGGUGAAGUCGUAACAAGGUAGC
rnacentral:rRNA from 1 species